GACGAACGCUGGCGGCGUGCUUAACACAUGCAAGUCGAACGGAAAGGCCCUGCUUUUGUGGGGUGCUCGAGUGGCGAACGGGUGAGUAACACGUGAGUAACCUGCCCUUGACGUUGGGAUAACUUCAGGAAACUGGGGCUAAUACCGGCUAGGAGCUCCUGCUGCAUGGUGGGGGUUGGAAAGUUUCGGCGGUUGGGGAUGGACUUGCGGCUUAUCAGCUUGUUGGUGGGGUAGUGGCUUACCAAGGCUUUGACGGGUAGCCGGCCUGAGAGGGUGACCGGCCACAUUGGGACUGAGAUACGGCCCAGACUCCUACGGGAGGCAGCAGUGGGGAAUAUUGCACAAUGGGCGGAAGCCUGAUGCAGCAACGCCGCGUGCGGGAUGACGGCCUUCGGGUUGUAAACCGCUUUCGCCUGUGACGAAGCGUGAGUGACGGUAAUGGGUAAAGAAGCACCGGCUAACUACGUG
rnacentral:rRNA from 1 species